CUACGGGGCGCACCAGUAAGGAAUAUUGCGCAAUGGAGGCAACUCUGACGCAGCCAUGCCGCGUGCAGGAAGAAGGCCUUAUGGGUCGUAAACUGCUUUUAUUUAGGAAUAAACCCCCGAACGCGUUCGGGGCUGAAGGUACUAAACGAAUAAGCACCGGCUAACUCCGUGCCAGCAGCCGCGGUAAUACGGAGGGUGCAAGCGUUAUCCGGAUUUAUUGGGGUUAAAGGGUGCGCAGGCGGGCUAUUAAGUCAGUGGUGAAAUCCCGGGGCUCAACUCCGGAACUGCCAUUGAUACUGAUAGUCUUGAGUUUGGUUGAAGUGGGCGGAAUGUAGCAUGUAGCGGUGAAAUGCAUAGAUAUGCUACAGAACACCAAUCGCGAAGGCAGCUCACUAAGCCAAAACUGACGCUCAUGCACGAAAGCGUGGGGAUCAAACAGGAUUAGAUACCCCUGUAGUC
rnacentral:rRNA from 1 species